rnacentral:rRNA from 1 species
UACGAGUGCCUCAAGCGUUAUCCGGAAUCAUUGGGCGUAAAGGGUGUGUAGGUGGUCAUGUUAGUCUCUCGUUAAAUUCUUCGGCUUAACCGGGGGCAUGCGAGGGAAACGGCAUGACUUGAGGAUGCAAGAGGUCUGCGGAACUCAUGGUGUAGCGGUGAAAUGCGUUGAUAUCAUGGGGAACACCGGUGGCGAAGGCGGGUCUCUGGGCCGAUACUGACGCUGAGGAGCGAAAGCGUGGGGAGCGAACAGG